UUUCCGUAGGUGAACCUGCGGAAGGAUCAUUAAAGUUAUAGUCCCCUGGCCCUCUGGGCUGGGGUCUUCUAUACCACCCUUUGUUUAUUACACCUUUGCUGCUUUGGCAGGCCUGCCCUCGGGCUGCUGGCUCCGGCCGGCUCGCGUCUGCCAGAGGACCUAAACUCUGUUUGUAUAUGAAGUCUGAGUACUAUAUAAUAGUUAAAACUUUCAACAACGGAUCUCUUGGUUCUG
rnacentral:misc_RNA from 1 species